GAUGAACGCUGGCGGCGUGCCUAAUACAUGCAAGUCGAGCGAACAGACGAGGAUCUUGCUCCUCUGACGUUAGCGGCGGACGUGUGAGUAACACGUGGAUAACCUACCUAUAAGACUGGGAUAACUUCGGGAAACCGGAGCUAAUACCGGAUAAUAUAUUGAACCGCAUGGUUCAAUAGUGAAAUACGGUUUUUCUGUCACUUAUAGAUGGAUCCGCGCCGCAUUAGCUAGUUGGUAAGGUAACGGCUUACCAAGGCAACGAUGCGUAGCCGACCUGAGAGGGUGAUCGGCCACACUGGAACUGAGACACGGUCCAGACUCCUACGGGAGGCAGCAGUAGGGAAUCUUACGCAAUGGGCGAAAGCCUGACGGAGCAACGCCGAGUGAGUGAUGACGGUCUUCGGAUCGUAAAAAUCUGUUAUUAGGGAAGAACAAAUGUGUAAGUAACUAUGCACGGAUUGACGGUACCUAAUCAGAAAGCCACGGCUAACUACGUG
rnacentral:rRNA from 1 species